rnacentral:lncRNA from 8 species
UGGUUAAUGCUCUUUUAGUCUGGUAUGUACAAUUAUUUUGAUUUAAUCUUUAAUUUAGUCUAGGUUUUAAUCACAUCCAUAUUGAUGUAUUCUCACUUUGAUGAAGUCUAAACUUAAAUACAACUGCUGUAUUGAUGUCUUUUUUAAAGAAAGUUUAUUUGUUAAUUUCAAUAAGUUGUAUUAUUAUUUACCUAUUGAUCCUUGAAUUUGAAUCUGUAAAAUUUUCUCAAAUCUAUCCAGGCAUGUAUACUGUAUAUACUCUGAUGCUGCAGAUUUACUCCUCAAUCAACCGUCCAGAUCCCAGAUCCCACAAGGAUAAAGGCUAUUUUAGGCUUAGGGCUUAGGUUUAGGGUUAGGUUUACAAUUAGGGUGAGGGUUUAGGGUUUUUUGGUUGUGUGGGUGGGGGGGUUGUGUCUACACUCUUGGUCAAUGUUUACUCAAUUUUAUUUGAGUCAUCGAUCAAAAUGUAAGCAAACUAGAUUCACUCUUUUGAAUGUUUGAAUAUGAAAGUUAACAGAGGAGGAGAAACUACUGCAAUUUAUACAAACAACCAAACAACAUAAACUGAUCUAGACUUGGCAUUUGUCCUGUUCUGUUUCCAAACAUAAUGUGAUUGGUCAGGCUGUGGCCACUGCGCAAAGAUGUUGGAAUAAAACGUAAUGUCAUCUUACUACUACAUCUCAUUGACUGAGCCGAGCAUUUAAUCAUAUUUCUCUCUCAAUAAACUUCUCCCCUUUACUACUACAGAUGUAUCACACCAAGGGUUAUUUGCAUGUGGACAUACAAUUAACCUUUUAAAACACUCAAAAUAACAGCUAAUCUUGCACUUUUUACAUUAUGUAGUAUUUUGUUGAAGGUAUGGGAACAUGCUGCAUUCAUAGGCAGCUCUAUCUGCCUCUCAUUUUGAAUAAAGACUCCAGUAAACUGAUAUUGAAAUAUUAAUGGAUUUCAUUAUUUCUCAUCCUGCAUUAAUACCCUUUAGUUUAUCUAGUGAACUCUUAUGUAGACAU